rnacentral:rRNA from 1 species
UACGAAGGGGGCUAGCGUUGCUCGGAAUCACUGGGCGUAAAGGGUGCGUAGGCGGGUCUUUUAAGUCAGGGGUGAAAUCCUGGAGCUCAACUCCAGAACUGCCUUUGAUACUGAGGAUCUUGAGUUCGGGAGAGGUGAGUGGAACUGCGAGUGUAGAGGUGAAAUUCGUAGAUAUUCGCAAGAACACCAGUGGCGAAGGCGGCUCACUG